UGGCUCAGGAUGAACGCUGGCGGCGUGCCUAAUACAUGCAAGUCGAACGAACUCUGGUAUUGAUUGGUGCUUGCAUCAUGAUUUACAUUUGAGUGAGUGGCGAACUGGUGAGUAACACGUGGGAAACCUGCCCAGAAGCGGGGGAUAACACCUGGAAACAGAUGCUAAUACCGCAUAACAACUUGGACCGCAUGGUCCGAGCUUGAAAGAUGGCUUCGGCUAUCACUUUUGGAUGGUCCCGCGGCGUAUUAGCUAGAUGGUGGGGUAACGGCUCACCAUGGCAAUGAUACGUAGCCGACCUGAGAGGGUAAUCGGCCACAUUGGGACUGAGACACGGCCCAAACUCCUACGGGAGGCAGCAGUAGGGAAUCUUCCACAAUGGACGAAAGUCUGAUGGAGCAACGCCGCGUGAGUGAAGAAGGGUUUCGGCUCGUAAAACUCUGUUGUUAAAGAAGAACAUAUCUGAGAGUAACUGUUCAGGUAUUGACGGUAUUUAACCAGAAAGCCACGGCUAACUACGUGCCAGCAGCCGCGGUAAUACGUAGGUGGCAAGCGUUGUCCGGAUUUAUUGGGCGUAAAGCGAGCGCAGGCGGUUUUUUAAGUCUGAUGUGAAAGCCUUCGGCUCAACCGAAGAAGUGCAUCGGAAACUGGGAAACUUGAGUGCAGAAGAGGACAGUGGAACUCCAUGUGUAGCGGUGAAAUGCGUAGAUAUAUGGAAGAACACCAGUGGCGAAGGCGGCUGUCUGGUCUGUAACUGACGCUGAGGCUCGAAAGUAUGGGUAGCAAACAGGAUUAGAUACCCUGGUAGUCCAUACCGUAAACGAUGAAUGCUAAGUGUUGGAGGGUUUCCGCCCUUCAGUGCUGCAGCUAACGCAUUAAGCAUUCCGCCUGGGGAGUACGGCCGCAAGGCUGAAACUCAAAGGAAUUGACGGGGGCCCGCACAAGCGGUGGAGCAUGUGGUUUAAUUCGAAGCUACGCGAAGAACCUUACCAGGUCUUGACAUACUAUGCAAAUCUAAGAGAUUAGACGUUCCCUUCGGGGACAUGGAUACAGGUGGUGCAUGGUUGUCGUCAGCUCGUGUCGUGAGAUGUUGGGUUAAGUCCCGCAACGAGCGCAACCCUUAUUAUCAGUUGCCAGCAUUAAGUUGGGCACUCUGGUGAGACUGCCGGUGACAAACCGGAGGAAGGUGGGGAUGACGUCAAAUCAUCAUGCCCCUUAUGACCUGGGCUACACACGUGCUACAAUGGAUGGUACAACGAGUUGCGAACUCGCGAGAGUAAGCUAAUCUCUUAAAGCCAUUCUCAGUUCGGAUUGUAGGCUGCAACUCGCCUACAUGAAGUCGGAAUCGCUAGUAAUCGCGGAUCAGCAUGCCGCGGUGAAUACGUUCCCGGGCCUUGUACACACCGCCCGUCACACCAUGAGAGUUUGUAACACCCAAAGUCGGUGG
rnacentral:rRNA from 1 species